UACGAAGGGGGCUAGCGUUGUUCGGAAUUACUGGGCGUAAAGCGCGCGCAGGCGGUUUUUCAAGUCAGUGGUGAAAGCCCGGAGCUCAACUCCGGAAAUGCCAUUGAAACUGUUAAACUUGAGGAUGAGAGAGGUGAGUGGAAUUCCCAGUGUAGAGGUGAAAUUCGUAGAUAUCGGGAGGAACACCGGUGGCGAAGGCGGCGAUCUGGGUCGAUACUGACGCUGAGGUGCGAAAGCGUGGGGAGCAAACAGG
rnacentral:rRNA from 1 species